rnacentral:misc_RNA from 1 species
UUCUUGAAAGCUACAGUUGAUAUGUUCAUGCUGUCAAGCAUGUAGUGAAUUUUUACAAUGGUUAGAUACCAAAGAGCACAGAUUAAAUUCUUUGAUGAAUUGUUACAUCGAGCUGAAUUAUGGAGCAUGUAACAGUUUUCAUUGGUGUCAUGUACGUGCCUUGCCUCACUAGUCCCUUCUCUUUUCAGAUUCCGUGCAUUCAUACUUCAGUUCUCUUAAUUUGUUUCCAAAUCUCAUUUUGUGAUUAUUCCUACGUAUGUGACGUGCUUUCUGCUGCAUUCUUGCAUUUGCACAACACCAGAGGUGAUAAUCUUAAAUCCAUGGGGAAUUAAAUUAGUUUAUGUUUGAUGCAUUAUAAAUGUUUUGCUGAGUGGAAAUAAAAAAUAUUUAAAAAAUUGUGGCCUGAAGUUUUCUGGUUCAUAAAUUUCUAUUUUCAUUUUGAAGUAACUCAUGACAUGUAUAAUUUUUAUAUACAGUUAACAGAUGAUAUACAUGAGGAA